ACUUUCUUCCCACUUCAGUUCGCUCGCUUCAUCAGCGCUAGUCAGACUCGAGAGAUGGGUCAAGUGAAGCUGAAACAGCCUCUAUAGCAUCCUGCAUCAGGAUCCAGGUGCAGUUCUUAUGUAGACUUAUCAAGAAUUCAUUACUCAAUAGGUUCCGCAAUAGGUUUGUUCUCUCGCUCCUCCCAUUGACGCUUGUGACGGCAAAAGAUUAUAUUAGCUAUUUAAUACCUCGCCCCAAAGGCACGGUAAAAAUGCCAAGGUAUUGGCAAAUGAAAACGCAUAAGCAGCAACCAAGCUAUUACAAUGCUUGAAAUGACAAUAUUUGUGAAAACAAGUAUCCAAAACGUCUUAGUUGAAAAUGGGCUGACUUCCAUAACGUUCGAUGAGUUUAAAUAUUAUGACAACCAAUUAUGGUUUGUGUAGUUAUGACUUACAGUCCUUUGCCAAACUGGAAAUGUGCCUUCGAGGUGGCCCUACUUUUUUUUUGAUUUUCUGUUAGACGUGAUCUAGAAUUGAACGUGACGUUGCAGAGACAUUAUCUCAUAGUGAGUUAACAGUAAGUUAUCGCCUGAAGAAAUUUCAAAUGUAUAGCAGGCCCUAAUCCAAAUGACAAGGCUCAGGUGUUUAAAAUAUCGUUGAUUUUAAUGCUGAAUUCGCACAAAAUUCCAAUAGAGGAGAAAACACUCAAGGCAUAUAAGACAUCCGAUGUAAUAGUAACGUGCAAUAAUACGUUCGGGGAAACCGACGUAAUAUGACGUUAAAGAAGUCGCAACUUUGGUGCGGCAGAAGGACCGAUAAACUUUUUAUAACGUGUUGGCUAUGAAAUUUUCCAGCCAGGUCAGGCCAGGUGUGCGUCUUCCCAACAGGAGAAAACCACAAGGUUGAUUUAGCAGAAGAGUAUUGGCUCCAAGCCAAACUCCUGCAUCCAAAAACCAAUAGGCACAUUUGGUACCAGCAUCAUGCUUAUUUCACAUGGUUUAACCAGAUGGAACUAUCAUCUAUGGAUCGUACAAUUUGUCUUUGUAAUACAAAUGUGUUGCCGUGCUCAUAAAGCAAAAGUUAUGGAGAAGACUGUUCGUUCGGAACUGCGCUCUUUGUCAGCCGCUAUUACAAGAUAUACUGGAAUGAAACUCGUAGUAAAACUUAUAAGAGCAGUUCGCAAUACGAGCUUCAAGCAGUCUCCGCAAGUUUCCGAAUAAAAAAGUCAGUUCUCACAUGCAUUCAUUGGGCUUACACCGCAUGUCGAAUGGUUGUUGUGGUCACUGCAACCCUUUGUGUCGCACAAUGGUUUGCAUCGUCACAUAAGAUUGCUGUUACUGCUCUUGUUGGUAAUAUUCAAAGUAAUGGUUUGUCCGGUUCUUCGCCGCAGCACGAAUGGCCAUCAUCGACAUUCUUUUCUACCUUCAAUUAACACCUGGUAUUGAUGCGUUUACCAUCUUGCCUAUACACAACAGACUUGGUGAACUGUUAUUCAAGAAUUUCUACCUGGAUGGCUUGGCUAUGCCGCCCAUGUUGGAUGUUAUGCUAUACUCCGUUGUCUCCUACAGUUUUUGCUUCGACACCUUCUUCAUGGCAUUACUCGUUUUCUACAAAUUCUUCAAAAGAACAGCCUUAUUAUCUUCGGCCGCUUCGAGCUUAAGUGAGUUAUUUCCAUCGUACUUUUCGUUUCUUGUUAAUGUGAGAUAGAGUAAACUAUCAAAUUGCUCCUUACAGCCAUAAAGAGUUUGAUCACUAGGGAACGAAAAGUAGCUCAAUAAACCUUACUAUAUAGAAAUCCUAAAUGGCAAACAAUGUUACUCAAUUGAGUCUAUGUGCUUCAUCUACACUUAUUUAGAAAGUAAAAUCGUCGGGAAAAUAGCCAGAUAGUAGUUUGUCCACUUGUUGCGCGUCAAUCCAAUAUCUUUAGUACGUCCGAACGUUAGCUUUCAAACAGCUUUCUCACUUAAGCAACUUGAAUACUUUCCAAUUAUUUUCAUUCUUUUUGGAAGCUGAGAGAAAGUCGAUCAGUCAAGUCGUAUGCCGCAAUGCUGUUCAUGGCAGCUUUAUUUGCAUUUCCUGUUUUCAACAAACAGAAGAAAAAAAAAACAAAUUUCGCCUCUACGAAAAUUGGGUUACUUAACUAAAGGAUUACACUGAGCUUGCUAACCUACAAUAGAAGAGGAACAAGAAUUUUGGAGGAUCAUUAUCAGAAAAUACGUUGAUAUUGUACACGAUUUACUGAUCAAAAUUUCAUUAUUUGUUGCUAUGUUUAUUACCUGUAUGAUGCGUGGAAUCCAGCUCAAUCCAUAGUCGGUAUAAAUGACUCAUACUUCGUGAUCCAUUCCAAAACUUUUAGUUGAUAUGAACCGCAGACAGGUAUGCCAAAAGUUGCGUUAAAAACUUUCCGAUUUCUAGAAUUGUAUUUGAAAACUCGUUUAACUGUCGGAGGGGAAACUCUGAAACGGGAAAUGAGUGACGUGAUGAUGGGAGUAUAGUUGAAACGCCGAGGUACAUUGGCAAACAUUGAACAUACGCGUUAAUAUUUAAAAUAUUGAGAAAAAACGGACACAUAAAGAAUUCUGAACGUAAAACACGGACGAUAAAGUUUUGAUAUCCCAAUUCACUUGAUUUUUUUUACAUCGUUGUUGUUGUUGUUAUUGUUGUUGCUAUGCUUUGGUUUGUAGGCCCUCGAAUGGAAGUUUUUGAAUAGUUGGAAGAAAAACACCGUUUGCACGAGAGCGUACCACGAAAAUGCAGUCGGGAAAUUACAUUCGAUGAAGAGCAACUGAAGUCCGUGCAAGCCAACAAGAAAGAACUGGACCAUUUGGAAAACGGUCAAAUAUUUCUUCCACCACAGAUACUUUUGAACUCGCGGACCCAUUGCUGACAUUAGAUAGUAGAAGUACAUAACAAAGUGCACAAAACUGUUAAAGGUGAGAAGGAAGGUAGCUUGGCCACCCGGAAUAAAACGGAAGACAAUCCAUACGGUCAGCGGAAUGCUGGCAUGGUGGAAAACAUGCAGGAAGGUGAUUUGAUUAUCCUUUUUACGCAUGAUGAAAAACAAGCGCAUCUCUGUUGUCGGAGUAAUCCACCGGCUGGCAAAUCAAACUGUAACCGUUGAACCACGUUAGACGGCAAAUAUGGUAGAACAUCCAGCCAUUGAAAACAAUUUGGAACGCGUUGUAAACCAUUAGUACACCGCGCAACUCAAAGGCUGGCCUGUUUUUCAUUAGUUUGGGACCCAAUAUUUUGACAACGAAUAGGUAAGCCAAGCAAAUCAACACCGGCGUUUGCGGAUUCUCCGUCAGGAACCAUCCAUCUGUACGCCUAUCUGUUAAGAAACGCAAACUCGUACUCAUAAGAAGCGGGAAAGCAAAUAUCUUUUAAUCAUACAAAAUAUUUUUUCAUACAUACUGACAUUAUUACGCAAUUAAAUUAAAUAUUACCUCUUUGAUCCCAAAUACGGAUGCUCUCGUCAACUACAGUUUGAAUAACGGAGGCCAUGGUUACACGACAGUAACUGGAAAUGAACUGAUUUGGAUGUCUCGUUGUCCCGAUGGUGUCUAGUCCUCAAUGUCUAUUCUGCUGUGAGCCAUUUUACACACACACCUUCUUGGAGUUUCCGAAGAACCUCCUCUCUUUUUUCCCCUCCAUAUUUUCCAUUCUUUGCUAACUAGAGCUGGAGUCAGUUACAACGACCUGGAAUUAGUUCUUAGAGGUCUAUCUUUUCCUACUUGAUUGGUUUUCAAACGGUAUGUAGCGUGAGCGUGCUAUGAAAUCAUACUUUUCUCUUUUUGAUUUUGGACCCUUGUUCGGAGCUACAAACAGAACGAUGCGUGAAUUUAAUUCAUUUAACGUCAUUUAAGCCAAGAUGAACAAGUUAACUUACUUUUCUCUUUAUUUAUUACAACAUCAACUGAGUGAAGAAUUUAGCUACAGGAGAUGGAAAACAAGCCGGAGGAAAAAAAAACAAGAUUAAAUUUUGUAAUGACAUCAAACGAGUUUUGAGAAAAUGGGGCGUCACAACAACAUUUCGUUUGCGCUAAAUUAACAGUACCUGGCAUUAUAGUCGGAACUUGUUUUUUGUCUCUGACCGAACGGAAUGCAAAAUUUUGAAGAAAAAAAAAACUCCCGAGAAAACAGGAUUGCCAAUCAAAUGAUCGUUCUACAUGUAAAAAGAAGACGACCACAAAAGGAUUCGAUGAUGCUUCUCAUUUGGAUUUAGGCAGCUUAUGUCUGGUUUUAAAGGCUUUGAACUGGAUCCAAAUGCAACUGAAGUUGGACAGGCCAUCCCCAUAUGCGAAUGUGUGUCAUUCUGUUUUGGAUUUUAACUGCUAUGGGUGGUCAAAAAGCAGUGUUAUGACGAGUUUAUUUAACGGCGAAAAUAAUUAACACACAGACAAAACUCUACAUAUAUUUCUUGCUGUCGCUGUCAUUGUUGUUGUUAGUGAUUGCUGACUUUGACGAAGAAUGAAUUUUCUUAUUUUUCUGGUA